GGGUGUGCGCACGCGGAGCAUACGCAUGCUUGGUUGAACUGUUACCAGGGGAGAGGGACCGGGUGGCUUUACCUAUGCCGGAGUCGGAGAAGAAGCGCCACCGGAGGCGCAGCGAGUGAGCGCCGCCGCAGGCAGAGCGGUUGCUCCCCGAAGGCACGACCGGCAACAACGCUGCGGUGCCCCUGUUGGCGGUUCGUCCGGAAAAGGUAGGAGGCGGUGGCGGCAGGAAAGAAUUGACGAUUUUAUUAUGUGUGCGGCGGCAUUUAAGAAUGAGUAAAACUGAGGCUAAACCGAGUCCUCUCAUUCAUCCUUACCUAUGAGCCAUCCGAUUUCGUGUUUGGGACAUCCAUGGUCGUCGGAUCUGAGUUUUGGUCGCGAAUUGGGCCGAGUGUCCUGUGGGCUGCUACUCUGGAAUUGUUUACCAAUACCGUCUAUGUUCCUCUGUUCAUGUAUCUCUGGCUCCUGUGAGUCUAUGAUCUGGUGGUAGUCAUUCCAUUAGAUGCAUCUGUGCUAAACGUACAGGGUGAAAUCACUUUUAGUGAUAUUCUUUUUGCAAGGAGCACUUGCGCUGAUUAGAUGAAUUUCAUUCCUCCUGUCUCAGUUUUGCUGAGUAAUAAUGGUUUGAGGGUGAUGUCAGUGCGUGGAUCUACUGUAGGAUUAUUUGAAAAUGAGUGACCAAUACUGAUCACUCUUUAGAUCUUGUUUCCAGAGCGUUAUCAAAGGUUGGAUGGUUUUGACUCUCUAAAGCAGAUUCGAUCGCAAGAGCGUGCUCAUAGCUGAUAGACUUGCUACUGAUUGGUAGAAAGGUUUGGUCCAAUAAUAUGUAUUUACGUCAUAGUACAAUAUGAUUGAUGGCAUGAGGAAUGAAAAUCAUAUGCUUUUCUUCAGAAGGUUCCCAUUUAAUGCUUUUUAUGAGAAUUUUUUUUUUCAAAAUCUUACUCAUAUAUUAUGUUUCUUUGCAUUGCUCAUGAAACUAUUAAAAUUCAAUGGUAGUUUUUUCAAGGAACUUAUGUUAUUGGCAUGAAAUAGUUCUCUGUGUACUAGCGAUCUUAUUGCUGCCUGCUUGCCUGAAAAAUGGCCACAUCACACUUAUAGGUUCGUAUUAUUCAGUAUGCUCACAUACAUAAGCUGACACUUUGUUAAAGAAGCAUAGGUUUGGCUCAGUCACACCGCCUCACUUGAUUUCACCAUUUUGGUGUUAAAUAGAAAAUCCAAGCUCCAGAGCUAUGCUCCGAAGUUUGUUAGUUAUAAGGGAAUUUGUAUGGAGUUAAGCAGAAGCACAUUGGACUUUAGCAAAAUGAUUAUUCUCUACUUCUAUUAAUUCGUAGUUAACUGAUUAUAUACCCUUCCAUUGCAGGUCCAGAUUGCAACACUUUUAUGUCCGCACAUAUCAGUCUAAGCUCUACAGAUUCAGGAGGUGCUCUCGGGUCACUUUUGCGGUUUAUGCCCCCAUUAGCUUGUAUCUCCGUCAAAUAAUCCAUGUUUUUUUUCCUUGGUGAGGUUUGCCAUCGAAUGAUGAAAUGCAUAUCCAGAGAUAAGGUAAAGAAUAGAUCUAUGUAGUAAAUAUAGAGGUACCUUGUUUUUUAUAUGCACGAAGCUCCCAUCGCAAUACUGAAGUUUAUAAUUCAAGUUUGAUCUAUAUAGAAAGUCUAUUAGUAACCCUAGGUGAAGAUUAAGUAAUUCUUCACCCCGGUCCAGACAACGAGCCGGACUCCCCGAUCGCACCACCCUGAGUCUACCGGUCGCCUUCAUACUGAUGUAAAAUUUUAUCCCGUGUGAUGUAAUUUUACGUGAAGUCAAGAGCCCACUCCGUCCCUAAUAAAGAAAAGAAAAAAACAAGGCCACACCCGAGAUGAAAAAAAAAGAGCGAACUCCCUCGUCCAAUUCUAAUCAGGGGCGAGUAAUAAUCUGAAAAAAGAAAAAAAAA
rnacentral:lncRNA from 1 species